rnacentral:rRNA from 1 species
AUUGAACGCUGGCGGAAUGCUUUACACAUGCAAGUCGAACGGCAGCACGGACUUCGGUCUGGUGGCGAGUGGCGAACGGGUGAGUAAUAUAUCGGAACGUGCCCAGUCGUGGGGGAUAACGUAGUGAAAAUUACGCUAAUACCGCAUAUGAUCUAUGGAUGAAAGCGGGGGAUCGCAAGACCUCGCGCGAUUGGAGCGGCCGAUAUCAGAUUAGGUAGUUGGUGAGGUAAAGGCUCACCAAGCCGACGAUCUGUAGCUGGUCUGAGAGGACGACCAGCCACACUGGAACUGAGACACGGUCCAGACUCCUACGGGAGGCAGCAGUGGGGAAUUUUGGACAAUGGACGCAAGUCUGAUCCAGCCAUUCCGCGUGCAGGACGAAGGCCUUCGGGUUGUAAACUGCUUUUGUACAGAACGAAAAGGUCUCUAUUAAUACUAGGGGCUCAUGACGGUACUGUAAGAAUAAGCACCGGCUAACUACGUGCCAGCAGCCGCCGUAACAC